UAAAGAAAUCAUUUGAAAAGACUAUAAAAAGUGAGCUUUUUUUGAUUCAGUGAUAGGCUAUUAAAACAAUUUUGACUAAAUUAAAUCCAGAUCAUUUAGAUGUUAAACCAGAAGCGAAUUUUUUUAGUUCGGAUAUUUAUUUUUUAUUUUUUAACUCGGCGCGCUCUAUAAACGAUAUUCUCACAUUUAGUAAACCGAAGCCUCAAGUGUCCGUUUGUCUCCGGAGAGUUUCAUCCGUUUAUCUAACGGAUUUCUGUUAACUCACGUGCUGCCGGUCGCAGCUGCGUCACGCGAGCGCAAAUGACACGCCGAAGGAGCGCAGGCACGGACGCGCGCGCGAGUGAAGAAAGAGGGAAAAACCCAACGCUUACUACACCGCCACCGAAGCCGCACAAACAUAUAUGACGUUUUCUCUACGUUCCUAACAAUAUCUCAGAGAAAACCCUUCAUAGACGAACAAGACAGUAUAAGGCGGAAUAUCAGGGAUGGAUGUGAAAGAUCAAGGAGCGCAGAUGGAGCCGCUGCUUCCUGCGGUUCAGAGUCCUGCUAGUGAUAACGGGAGAAAUGAUGAGGAAGCCGUGCUGGACAGGGGCGGGACUCGGUCCAUGCUCAACACCAAUUUCGAGAAAGAGGAGCUGGAAGGCCACCGUACCCUCUACAUUGGGGUGCAUGUACCACUGGGUCGGAGGUCACACAGACGGCAUCGUCACCAUGGACAUCGCCACAGGAAGAGGUCACGGGAGAGAGACUCUGGAACCGAGGAUGGCAGAGAAUCACCUUCAUAUACAGACACACCGUCUCAGCGUGUACAGUUCCUGCUGGGAAUGGAGGAUGACGAGGAACACAUUCCUCACGCUCUCUUCACCGAGCUGGACGAAAUCUGCCUGAAAGAGGGAGAGGAUGCGGAAUGGAAAGAGACGGCAAGAUGGCUGAAGUUUGAGGAGGAUGUGGAGGAUGGAGGGGAGAGGUGGAGUAAGCCAUACGUGGCUACUCUUUCCCUUCACAGUCUGUUUGAGCUGCGGAGCUGCAUCCUCAACGGCAUCGUCAUGCUGGACAUGAGGGCCAACUCACUGGAGGAGAUCGCAGAUAUGGUUUUGGACCAGCAUGAGACGUCAGGUUCUUUGGGAGAGGAGGUGAGGAAGAAGAUCCGAAAUGCUCUCCUUAAACAGCACCACCAUCAGAACCAGAAGAAACUGGCUAACCGGAUCCCCAUCGUACGCUCUUUCGCAGAUAUUGGCAGGAAGCAGUCCGAACCACACUCCAUGGAUAAGAAUGUUAUCAUCACGACCCAAUCGCCCCCCAGUUCCUUCUCCUCUCUCUGGUCUAGGUUCAGCCACAGUGUGAGAAACAGACAGGUGCUCUUAUGUCCAGCCUGGUCCCUCCGCUGUACCAAGUGUCUGUCAGCUCCCCAUAAACCCCAUCCAUCCCUUUCUGCCCUUCCUGCCCCAGACAACCCCCUCAUCCGGCCCAAAAAACCCUGCAUCCCCUUCAGCAAACGACUAAGCCCGCCUUACGGCUACCACGUCAUCCCUACCUUCGACCCUGAAGAAGAGACAACAUCAGGUCAGAUGGUGUCUCCUCAGGCUCAGCCCACCACUACAGAAGGACGUGCGGAUGGCAGUCGUGAGAACAGUGCUGUUGACUUCAGCAAAAUAGACCUCCACUUCAUGAAGAAGAUCCCACCCGGAGCUGAGGCAUCCAACAUCUUGGUGGGUGAACUGGAGUUUCUAGAGAAACCUGUGGUGGCCUUCAUCCGUCUGUCCCCCGCUGUGCUGCUCAAUGGCCUGGCAGAGGUCCCCAUCACCACCAGGUUUCUCUUUAUUCUGCUGGGACCAAUGGGGAAAGGGCCUCAGUAUCAUGAGAUUGGCCGCUCUAUUGCCACGCUCAUGACAGACGAGGUGUUCCAUGAUGUAGCUUAUAAAGCAAAGGAUCGUUCUGACCUUGUGGCAGGAAUCGAUGAGUUUUUGGAUCAAGUGACUGUGCUGCCCCCAGGCGAGUGGGAUCCUACCAUCAGAAUAGAGCCGCCCAAAAACGUGCCCUCACAGGAGAAACGGAAGGUUCCUCCUCUGGCCAAUGGAGGGGCUGAUUUGGGGGAGGCCGAGGAGCACGGAGGCCACGGAGGACCAGAGCUACAGCGCACAGGGAAGUUUUUUGGUGGUUUUUUUAUGGACAUCAAGCGCAAGGCUCCUCACUACCUGUCAGAUUACACAGAUGCCAUCAGUUUGCAGUGUCUUGCCUCCUUUCUUUUCCUGUACUGCGCCUGCAUGUCUCCUGUUAUCACUUUUGGAGGUCUGCUGGGAGAAGCUACAGAAGGACGCAUAAGUGCGAUAGAGUCUCUGUUUGGAGCCUCUAUGACGGGUAUAGCGUAUUCUUUGUUUGCUGGGCAGCCCCUCACUAUCUUGGGCAGCACGGGACCUGUCUUGGUCUUUGAGAAAAUCCUCUUCAAAUUCUGCAAAGAGUAUGGUUUGUCCUACCUCUCCUUACGCGUGUGUAUCGGUCUGUGGACGGCCUUUUUGUGUCUUGUGCUGGUUGCCACAGACGCCAGCUCGCUGGUGUGUUACAUCACACGAUUCACAGAGGAAGCCUUCGCUUCCCUCAUCUGCAUCAUUUUCAUCUACGAGGCUCUGGAGAAACUCAUUCACCUGGGAGAGACGUACGCUUUCAACAUGCACAAUGACCUCAACCAGCUUACUCAGUACUCGUGUGUGUGCACAAUGCCUAACGAGCCCAGCAAUGCCACACUGAAUUACUGGCAGGAAAAAAACAUGACUGCAUCUGAGAUUGACUGGUUAGGCCUGGAUGUUAAGGGCUGUGUGGAGUACAGGGGUGAGUUUGUGGGCAGAGCCUGUGGUCAUCACGGUCCAUACAUCCCUGAUGUCCUCUUCUGGUCUGUCAUUCUCUUCUUCUCCACGGUUGCCAUGUCCUCCUUCCUUAAAGAGUUCAAAACUAGCCGUUACUUCCCAACCAAGGUGAGGGCCAUUAUCAGUGAUUUUGCUGUUUUCAUUACCAUCUUGACUAUGGUUCUGAUCGACUACGCUUUAGGGGUUCCGUCCCCCAAACUACAGGUUCCUAAUGAGUUUAAACCAACCAGAGAUGACCGUGGCUGGUUCAUCAGCCCAUUAGGACCAAACCCAUGGUGGACCACUAUUGUGACAUUCAUCCCAGCUCUGCUGUGCACCAUCCUCAUCUUCAUGGACCAACAAAUCACUGCCGUUAUUAUUAACAGGAAGGAACACAAGCUGAAGAAAGGCUGUGGGUAUCAUCUGGACCUGUUUGUGGUGGGUGUGAUGCUGGGCGUUUGCUCUUUGAUGGGCCUGCCGUGGUUCGUGGCCGCGACGGUGCUGUCAAUCUCCCACGUGAACAGCCUGAAGCUGGAGUCCGAAUGCUCCGCGCCUGGAGAACAGCCCAAGUUCUUGGGCAUCAGAGAGCAGCGCUUCACCGGCCUCAUGAUAUUCGUCCUCAUGGGCAGCUCAGUGUUUAUGACCUCCGUACUGAAGAAUAUCCCAAUGCCUGUGUUAUAUGGCGUUUUCCUCUAUAUGGGAGCGUCAUCUCUCAGGGGCAUACAGUUCUUUGAUCGUCUGAAGUUGUUUGGGAUGCCGACGAAACACCAGCCUGAUUUUAUCUACCUGAGACACGUCCCAUUGAGAAAGGUUCACCUGUUCACCAUUAUCCAGCUCAGCUGCUUGGUGCUUCUCUGGGUCAUUAAAACUUCCAGAGCUGCCAUAGUCUUUCCUAUGAUGGUCUUAGCCCUUGUGUUCAUCCGUAAGCUGUUGGAUUUUGUCUUCUCUAAGCGAGAUCUCAGCUGGCUUGAUGACCUCAUGCCCGAGAGCAAGAAGAAAAAAAUGGAAGACGCACAGCAAGAGGAGAAUCAGUGUGUCUUGAUGGAGGAUGAAGGAAUUGUACAAGUGCCCUUAGAGGGGCAUUUUAAGGACGAUCCAUCAACGGUCAACAUUUCAGAUGAAAUGACAAAGUCGUCUUUUGGAAAUAUCUGGAAAGGCCUCAACACUGACAGCACCAACAAAGAUCAAAGCUCCAAAAGCUCCCUCUCCUAAUGUCUCAGAUGCUGAUUUCCAAAGCUGUUUGGACUCUCAUUCUGACGGCACCCAUUCACUUCAGAGGAUCCUUUGGUGAGCAAGUGAUGUAAUGCUACAUUUCUCCAAAUCUGUUCUGAUGAGGAAACAAAUUCAUAUUCUUCUUGGAUGACCUGAGGCUCAACAGUUGAAGUUGCCAUUGGACAUAAAAGAGGCGAUGAAAAGAAGGAGGCAGAUUUGGAUAGAGAGACGAGUUUGUGAGUUCACGUAUUUCGAAACACUCUGUAUCGUGCCACACUGCAAACACCACUAAAUGCUUCUGUUCUGUAGGUCUGUGUGUGCCAGUCUGUGCUAAGGCACCUUGUUAUAUUUACAUGUUUUUAUGUGUGUGUGUGUGUGUGUGUGUGUGUGUGUGUGUGUGUGUGUAUGGAGAUGUUUGUUUCAAACAUUCGAAUAUGUGUUUUUGAAUUUGCCACCCACAAGGAGGAUUGUUGGGUUGUGUGUUUUUCCAGUCCAAUUGUAGUCAAAUUGUAGUUUCACCUAUAGAAGUUUAAAAAAUGUAAGGUUACUUUUGUUUUCAACCGGGUAGAGUGUUUUUUGUAUGUUUUAUAUUUUUUUUGAAAGUAGAUCCUAUUGAAAUUCCUUGUCUGAAUAUGUUUAUUAUAUAAAAUCCAUUCUUUUUUAUUGUGCAUAAAUGAUAAAUAUUAAUUUGCUGGCAUAGUUAAAAUAUCAAAAUAGUAAGAAGCAAUUUCUGACAGAAGAUGCAAAUGUAGUUCUAUCAGCUUUUUCAGUAUCUGUGCAUCAAAAUGUUGUCCUCAUCACUUCAUAAGAUACUUGAUGUUAACAUUUACUACUUACGAACAGUGACCAAUAUUUUUAAAAGUACUUUUAUGAACAGUUUUCUCAUUUUGUGAAUCUUACGGUACGAUUUCCCUUAAAACGCAAACAUAUGAGCCAGGACUGUGCUCAUUUUAGCCUACAACAUUUUCUCCUGAACUUCUUGAUAUGAAUCACAUCCAUAUUCAGAAAUUCAUGUGUUGAUCUGGACUAUAUUAUUAUUAUUUUUUUUUUACAUAUAUUUUUUAUUCAUUUUGUGUAGCACUCAAACAUGCAAAUAAUAGUAAACAUAUAUUUUGUUAAAACAUUGCAAAUAAUAUAACUGUAUAUUGCGUUUUCACAAUGUUUCUGAGUGGCAGGGCAUCUGUCUCCUCUACAAGACUCAUUUGCAAGCCAAGAAAAGACCUCAUCGCUCGAACGAACGAAUUAUACUAGUACUGCCGAUAAUACAAAAAUCAUACAAGAAAUGCAAUAAUAUUCCUUUUCAUAAGAGGGGCAUUAUACCGUGCACUAACCAGAGACAAAUCUACCAUUUAUCAUCAACACAUGUACAUGUGAUUCUGUAUUUUGUCUAUGUGUAUAAUCCUAAAUAACAAAGUUAUUUAAUAUGUGGAUAGAUUUAAAUAUGUAUAGACUGUGGGGGGGGGGGAUGAUUGUUUUCAUGUUACUGUCAGUGUUAUUACAGUGUUUUACCAUUUUCACAAAACUACGACACGCACAUCUAUGUCAUGCACAAGUCGGCAGUAUAAAGUUCUGUUGAUUUCACUGUAAAAUAAGCAUUACUUCCUAAAAACAGCCUCUGUCGUUUAUUAAAUUAUUCAUUCAAAUGAACAUGUAUCGUUACAACUGUGAUCAAUUUCAUCACAAUAAAUGUGACUGCAAAUAAACUGAUGCUAAAGUGUGUUUUUGCAAUGGUUUAU